rnacentral:rRNA from 1 species
UACGUAGGUGGCAAGCGUUAUCCGGAAUUAUUGGGCGUAAAGCGCGCGCAGGUGGUUUCUUAAGUCUGAUGUGAAAGCCCACGGCUCAACCGUGGAGGGUCAUUGGAAACUGGGAAACUUGAGUGCAGAAGAGGAAAGUGGAAUUCCAAGUGUAGCGGUGAAAUGCGUAGAGAUUUGGAGGAACACCAGUGGCGAAGGCGACUUUCUGGUCUGCAACUGACACUGAGGCGCGAAAGCGUGGGGAGCAAACAGG